rnacentral:rRNA from 1 species
UACGUAGGGGGCUAGCGUUGUCCGGAUUUAUUGGGCGUAAAGAGCGUGUAGGCGGCCAGGUAGGUCCGGUGUGAAAACUCGAGGCUCAACCUCGAGAUGUCAUCGGAAACCAUUUGGCUAGAGUCCGGAAGAGGAGAGUGGAAUUCCUGGUGUAGCGGUGAAAUGCGCAGAUAUCAGGAAGAACACCCGUGGCGAAGGCGGUUCUCUGGGACGGUACUGACGCUGAGACGCGAAAGCGUGGGGAGCGAACAGG